rnacentral:rRNA from 1 species
UAGGGAAUCUUCGGCAAUGGACGAAAGUCUGACCGAGCAACGCCGCGUGUGUGAUGAAGGGUUUCGGCUCGUAAAGCUCUGUUGUUAAAGAAGAACACGUAUGAGAGUAACUGUUCAUACGUUGACGGUAUUUAACCAGAAAGUCACGGCUAACUACGUGCCGG